GAACACUCUUCAUGUUCUAGUGACCUUUGAUUAAAAAAAGCAGAGGCCACGGCCUGGUUAUCCAUCACUUUCCGGGUUGAAGGGAGCCGCCUUGGUCUUCUGUGGCUCUUGGGCUGGACGCACACGUGGGUCCCCUUUGCCAGCUGGGGCAGCAGGUGUGGGAAGGGCACGGUGAGAGGCACAGCCUUCUCCUGCUGGCUCCAGGUUUUGGGGUUUUGUUUUUCCCCUUUGGGAUGAUUUGCCAGUUGUGUGUGGACAGCCGGUGGUGUGGGCCCUCUGGUGAUGUUUGGGGGUGCCGCGGUUCAUGACACGGACACAGUCCCUAUCUCCCCGUCCACGUGUGGGAAGCGAGGUCCAGGGCGGUGGCACUGAGAAGCAUCAGGACCUUGGAGAAGUGGCACCCAGUGGGAACUUGCUGGGGGCACUGCUCACGGGGGGGUGAUGGUCUCAGGGGUCCCCAGUUAGUCCCUGGGAGAGUGAAUUGCUACAGACAGCAAGGUUUCUGGCUUCGUGUCUCACCCUAUGCUGCUCCCUCUCACCUCCUCCCACCAUGACGCCAUGGCUGAGCUGGCACUGUGCCCUUGAACCUCUAAAACUAUGAGUUCAUGAACUGUUCUUUAUAAAGUAUGCAGCCCCAAGUGUUGUGUCACAGAGACAGAAAGCACGUACACCACAGCACGUAGCUUCCUCUUGAUUCUUGCUGUCACCCUGAGGGCACCCCUAGCAGAAUCAGCUGUUGGCUGAGAACAGCCUCCGGGCAGAGCAGUGCUGGACAGAGCAGUCCCGGUUUCCGUUCUGCUCCUGCCGGCCAGCCCCCACCCGCAGCCCCUCAGCGCAUGUCAUGACUGCACGGGCCCUCAUGGCCACUGUCGCCUCUCCCACCAGGAAGCAUACUGUUCCAUGGAGGAUAUAUGCCACAUAUUCUUCUACUGAUAGACACCCAGAUUGCUUAACAGCUUGGCUAUCAUAAAUAAUGCAAAAAUGAACACAGGAGUGCAGGAAUUUACCCAUUCUUCGGGAUUACACAAUUUCUCGCCGUGUAGCUGCUCAUAGUAACCUCUCGGAUUUCUAAGUUUCCGCUGAAAUUCCUGCACUGGCCUGAGUAUGGACGCACUUUUCCGCGUCGUUGCUCCCGUGUGAGAAGAGAUGGGAAGAACACCUGACAACGAAGAUGAGAAGGUUUCGUUACGAAUAAGACUGCUCACCUGCGCAGAUCCUGUGAGUCAAUGCCUCUGACAGUGUGGCGCUGGCUUGCAGGUCUACCGAGCUGCACCAUGAUCCAGGUCCCAUGGCAGCUGUGGGCUGGGAGUCCUGAGUGCCAGGGGAAAAAAAGCGACACCCUCAUGUGACUGCUGCUCCGUCUGCAGACUCUUAGAUCAGCCCUGCAAAGUAGGAGCUUGUGGCAGCCCUCAGCCCAGCACGCCGGCCUCUUCGUAAGCAUUGUUCUGCCAGUGAAUAGACGUCAGUAUGAAUCCUCUGAGUUAGAGACACUUUCUGCUGUACUCUUUACUUACUCCUCGGUAGGGGUACCUGGAGGGAGGAGGAGAAAGACAUUUUGAUGCCUUGAAAUGGGACAGCACUUGGAGAGAGCCACAUGCUGCUCUUGGUGACAACACCAGGUCCCUUAGGAGAGCAAUCGCUAACAGCACAGGCAAAGGGCUGCGCAUUGUGCAGCUAAUGGGCAGCAGAGGCCCUGGAGUCUGCGCUGGCUGAAACUCUCUUGGCCCAGGUGGUAAUGAUCUGCUCAGGGUCACCUGACCAGGAAGAGAUGUGGGCUUGGCUGGCAGGUUCUGCAGACAACUGUCUGUUGUCUCAUACCCACGCUCACACAGCACCCAUCUGCCCACCUGUGUCUACCCACCAUCCCCCAUCUUUGCCGAGCACUUCCGGCCCCAGAGUUCACCCCGCCCUCAUUUAUCUCCGCACAUGUGCAGAGCGGUUCCCACCAGAGCUUGGAAAGAGCUGCUACUCGACCUUCCUCAACCCCAGGCGCUUGCCGCAUCCUUUCCUCUGGCCCUCGUCCUCGGGCUGGACCACUCUUCUUCCCCUGGGUCUCAGGCCUCCUCCCUGGACUGUCCAAAGUGCUCUCCAAAUGCCGGUGGGACUUUGUACGUAAAUAUUAAGAUUUUUAUUUUUAAACUUCAUUGCAUUACAUUCAGUGGUAUUCAUUUUCAAAAAAAGUGUUGUUUUGAGUCAAACCAAAGGGAGUAAGUUAUCAGACAUAUCCACUUUUCAGUAAAAUGUAAGAGCAGUUUGUCUUGUGUGUAUGUACGCGUAUUUAGACAACAUGCCAGGCCUGCCAGGAGUUACUGUUUUAAUGCUGAUGUGGAAUUCUCUGCAGAAUUACCAUUGCUUUGACCAGUGCUGGCAUGAGCUGGCCUGGCUCAGGGUUCUUUGGGAACAGUGUUUUGCUAGAGGGGAGUUAUUGGGGUCGGCUCACAGGAGAGAAAGGAAACUGCUGGGAGGUGAACUCUUCAGCCACACUAAGCCCAAUCUAGGGUCAUGUGUAGAAUAGCUCAAGUGGCCCUCUUUCUACAUAGGCGUCUUGUUUGCUCUUGAAUUUGAAGCUGGCUCGCUCAGCAGGGUCUCAGACCUCUCUCUUUGACUUUCUUUCCACUUGGAAAAGAUGGGCUGAAAGGCAAUCCAAAACCUGGCAGGAAACUAAGGACUUGGAGCCUCUAAUGUAGAUAUUUCAGGGAGCCACAAAGUCCAGGUUCGCAUGCUUUAAACACAGGUGUGUGAGAAGACGCUGAGUGCAGACCCUCCCCACCACACGCCAGCUAUUUCCCACCCAGGCGUGGUUUGGCCCAGACCCCAGCCUGCGCUUUGCUUGGUGUUAGUGGUGCUUCUCAAACUUAGCCAGGCACUGAGCCACCUGGAAAGUGUUUAGCAGUCAAAACCACAGGCAGUGCUGUAGACCCAUAACUCAGACUUGCUCGGGGUGGACCCUGGGGUCACCAAUUGUAAAACUCCCCAAGUGAUGCCAAAACACAGCCAAGAUGAAGCCAGGGCCAGCGCAGGGCCACCACGAUGUUCGCCAACUCCCCGAACUUAUCCAGGUUGAUGGUGAGGGGAGUCAGAUCUCCUCCAGCAACCCCCUCCUCAGCAACAGCCCGGGUACCACUGGGAAACACCCACAACACCCCCAAGACAUGCUGAUGCCCGGGCCACCCCAGACCUGCACGUCAGAGCCUCUGUGGUCUGAGCUGACUGGUCCUCAGCCACAGUUCCAUAUUCAACAUGGACAGUGCCAUGAGAGGGCUGCAUAAAACGAGCCAAUAGGGGAGAUGCAGGAAGGAGUGUAAAGGAUAAAGAACCCACCCACUUGCUCAUCAGACUGGGCGUUUCGAGGGCUUGGCUGUCCAGGAUCAUGGAGUGAAACGUAGGCGCUGAGGGCAUUUUAAGCACUAUGAAGAAUAUUGAGUCACAAACAUUGCCUGACCUUGUUGCAAGGUUGAGUUCAGUGCUCUGCAGAGCCUGAACAGCUGGAACCUUCAUUUCUUGUCAGACACCAGCCUGUGUUCCCUUAUUCUGCAGAAACCAUCAGGGCUGGGGGGUUAUGGGAGCUCAUCUGCUCCAGCUAAGCAUGCAGCAGCUGACCAGAAAGUGAUCAUCCUGUGCUGGUGAUUAUCCCUGGUCAAAGCUGAUUUGCUGAUGUGGCCUCCAGGGGUCAGCAUAGGCCAAUGUUCUCCAGGGCAUCGAAGGCCUUUCCCUCAGUUUGAAAGAGACUCAUCCCCUUAAGACACUGUUCCUGAAACAGGUUAGCAUCACAAUGGCACAGGCCUUACAAUCAGACUGAGUAGCGACGAUAUGCAACCCAAUGUAAGGAAGCCAGAAAAAUGCUUAUAGAAAAUGAUGAAAGAAAUAUCUCAUCCAAGAUAUUGAAGUGUGACUAUCUUUGGGGAAAAUUCAGGCAAGACUUUCAUGGUGAAUUUUACUUCAAGGUAGAGGAACAUCGGAAAUGCUCUGAUGUCCUGGCUCUCUGUUCUUCCCCAUCCUCCAGGCCAUGGAAGGGCCCUGUGAAUUCUUAUGGCUAGUGAGGGGUACAGGAACCAACUAGGAGGUGACCUAUCUAACCUCCAGGGAUCUGGUGAUGAAUUGGAUCAUGUUUGGGGGUCUGUUUCUCCCUCUGAUGGAAAAUAAAUGGCUUGUGAACUUGAUCUUCACAGUGAAAAAAC